GAUGAACGCUGGCGGCGUGCCUAAUACAUGCAAGUCGAGCGAACAGACGAGGAGCUUGCUCCUCUGACGUUAGCGGCGGACGGGUGAGUAACACGUGGAUAACCUACCUAUAAGACUGGGAUAACUUCGGGAAACCGGAGCUAAUACCGGAUAAUAUAUUGAACCGCAUGGUUCAAUAGUGAAAGACGGUUUUGCUGUCACUUAUAGAUGGAUCCGCGCCGCAUUAGCUAGUUGGUAAGGUAACGGCUUACCAAGGCAACGAUGCGUAGCCGACCUGAGAGGGUGAUAGCCACAAGUGAACCUGAGACAGGGCCCAGCGUCCACCGGGAGGAGACAGAAGGAAUUCUCCCGAAAGGGGGAAAGCCUGACAGGCGCACCGCCGGGGGAGGAAUGAAGGUUUUGUGAUGAAAAACCUUUUUAAUGGGAAAAAAAAAAAUGGUAAAGUACCAAGCCACGUCUGGAGGUACCCUAACAAAAAGCCCAGGGCAAACUCGGGC
rnacentral:rRNA from 1 species